rnacentral:rRNA from 1 species
AGGGUUUGAUCAUGGCUCAGAACGUACGCUGGCGGCACGCCUAAUACAUGCAAGUCGAACGAAGUAGCAAUACUUAGUGGCAAACGGGUGAGUAUAAUGUGGGAAUCUGCCCAUUGGUUUGGAAUAACACGAGGAAACUUGUGCUAAUACCAGAUAAGCCUUCACAGGGAAAGCUUUAUGCGCCGAUGGAUGAGCCCGCACUUGAUUAGCUAGUUGGUAAGGUAAAAGCUUACCAAGGCUACGAUCAAUAGCUGAUCUGAGAGGAUGAUCAGCCACAUUGGGACUGAGACACGGCCCAAACUCCUACGGGAGGCAGCAGUAGGGAAUCUUGCACAAUGGGGGAAACCCCGAUGCAGCGAUGCCGCGUGAGUGAAGAAGGCCUUUGGGUUGUAAAGCUCUUUCGUCGGGGAAGAAAAUGACUGUACCCGAAUAAGAAGGUCCGGCUAACUUCGUGCCAGCCGCCGCGGUAAUAC